rnacentral:rRNA from 1 species
UUUGUUACUUCAAACCAAUCGGACUUCGGUCUGACAUCAAGUGAUAUUGAACAAUUUAGCUGAUCGCACGGUCUAAGAACCGGCGACAUAUCCUUCAAAUGUCUGCCUUAUCAACUUUCGAUGGUAGAUUAUGCGYCUACCAUGGUUGUAACGGGUAACGGAGAAUCAGGGUUUGAUUCCGGAGAGGGAGCCUGAGAAACGGCUACCACAUCCAAGGAAGGCAGCAGGCACGCAAAUUACCCACUCCCGGCACGGGGAGGUAGUGACGAAAAAUAACAAGCUGGUCUCAAUGAGUUCCAGCAUUGUAAUGGGAACAAUUUAAAUCUUUUAUCGAGGAUCUAUUGGAGGGCAAGUCUGGUGCCAGCAGCCGCGGUAAUUCCAGCUCCAAUAGCGUAUAUUAAAGUUGUUGCGGUUAAAAAGCUCGUAGUUGGAUCUAGGAUUAGGGCUACGGUCGUUCAGCUUGGACGUACUGUAUGCCCGACUCCUUYUCUCUAGUAUUCGAUUGUUGCUCUUAAAUGAGUGACUUUAGUUGCUGGAACUUUUACCUURAAAAAAUWGAAKUGCUCAAAGCAGGUU